GACGAACGCUGGCGGCGUGCUUAACACAUGCAAGUCGAACGGAAAGGCCCUGCUUUUGUGGGGUGCUCGAGUGGCGAACGGGUGAGUAACACGUGAGUAACCUGCCCUUGACUUUGGGAUAACUUCAGGAAACUGGGGCUAAUACCGGAUAUGAGCUCCUGCUGCAUGUGGGGGGUUGGAAAGUUUCGGCUGUUAUGGAUGGACUCGCGGCUUAUCAGCUUGUUGGUGGGGUAGUGGCUUACCAAGGCUUUGACGGGUAGCCGGCCUGAGAGGGUGACCGGCCACAAUGGGACUGAGAUACGGCCCAGACGCCUACGGGAGGCAGCAGUGGGGAAUAUUGCACAAUGGGCGGAAGCCUGAUGCAGCAACGCCGCGUGCGGGAUGACGGCCUUCGGGUUGUAAACCGCUUUCGCCUGUGACGAAGCGUGAGUGACGGUAAUGGGUAAAGAAGCACCGGCUAACUACGUG
rnacentral:rRNA from 1 species